UACGUAGGGUGCGAGCGUUAAUCGGAAUUACUGGGCGUAAAGGGCGCGUAGGCGGCCACCGCAGGCAGACUGGGAAAUCUCCGGGCUUAACCCGGAAAGGUCAGCCGAUACUGCGGGGCUAGAGUGCAGAAGGGGCAACUGGAAUUCUCGGUGUAGCGGUGAAAUGCGUAGAUAUCGAGAGGAACACCUGCGGCGAAGGCGGGUUGCUGGGCUGACACUGACGCUGAGGCGCGAAAGCUUGGGGAGCGAACGGG
rnacentral:rRNA from 1 species